ACUAUACUCAUCAUUCUGAGGAACACAUCUGUUAAGAUGUACCGUAAGACACAAGAGCAAAUCAUGGAAUUAGACGCCAUUUAUGAAAGUGAUGAAGAUAUUGACACAACUGGACCUCGAAAAUGGAGUAAAAACCAGGAUAAAGAGAAAGCUCAAAAUCACAUAGGAAGUAGACGUUUGGUGUUGAUGACAGUGUGUCUCGGGCUCAUUUGUGCUCUUCUGCUGGUCUCCAUCAUACUGCAGCACAUCUCCAACACAGCAGAGAGAGAAUCUCUGUUCAAGAGUAACAAGAACACAGCUGAAGAGUUCAAUCAGACCAUCAACAGCUUACAGGACAAUUACACUGAUCUAAUGACUGAAAAAGACCAACUGAAGAACAACUUCAACUUUCUGAGUCAGAAGAAACUGGAGCUGGAGACCAGAGUCAGUAAUCUCACAGCUGAGAAAAGCCAGUUACAGGGAACCGUUGAUUCUUUGAGUCAGAAGAAACUGGAGUUAGAAAGCAAAGUCACGUCUUUGAGUGAUGAACUGAAGUUAAAAGUUUUUAAUGAAGGAUAUUUGUGCAGUUUAGAUGGUUUGUUCAUAUCCAGUAAGAAGAUGAGCUGGUCUGAGAGCAGGCAGUACUGCAGCGAUCGAGGAGCUGAUCUGGUCAUUAUCAACACUGAAGAGAAACAGAGACUCAUAUCUUCAUUCAAGGAAAGAGUGUGGAUUGGUUUGUCUGACAUUGAGAACGAGGGCAACAUGAAAUGGGUGGAUAAUUCACCACUGAAACAAGGGUUUUGGAUCAAAGGUGAGCCGAAUAGCUUUGGUGGAGAUGAGGACUGUAUUGAACUGAAUCCUGAAAAACCAACCCUGAACAACUGGAAUGAUCUUUCAUGUUCACACACAAGAAAAUGGAUUUGUGAGAAAUAGAUUUAGUCUUAUCAUGCAUAGUCUUAUUAACUUGUAUUAUCUUACCGAAUCAUUCUUAUUGCUAUACCAGUUUGGGUUUUUUUCUAUCCCAAGGGCUGGGUAAAUCUUAUAGGACAAAACACAAUUUUAGCCAGGAAAAUUGGGUUGUUUAUUUAACCCAGCAUAACGGGUUGAUUUAUUUUUUACUAUAAUACUAGCUUAUGUUUUACUUCAUACACUUAAAAAAAAUGCUACCUUAAAUUUUUAAGUACAUUCAACUUGGCUAUUUAAGAGAUUCUAAAUGUGGCUAUUUAACCUUUGAGGUUCAUUCUCGUGUGUUACGCAGCAUUUUUGAACUUCCGGAAGAGGUUUGUUCUUGUACGUCAUUCAUAUUCAGUUGAGCUUUAGCUUAUGUUCACUGAUCAAUGUUUACAUCUGAGUAAAAGCCUAAAUUAAAUCUUUUCAUCAUAAAAAGUGAUCAAGUCUCUUCAGAAAAUUUGGACUAAACCACUCAAUUCAUAUGGAUUAGUUUUCCAAUCUCUUUAUGAACUUUUUGUCAAAGUGGUAGUUGCAAAGGCAGUCAAUGGAGGGACUGACAUCUCUCAGAUUUCAUCAAAAAGAUCUUAGUUUGUGUUCCGAAGAUGAACGAAAGUCUUACAGGUUUGAAACGACAUGAGGGUGAGUAAUUAAUGACAGAAUUUUCAUUUUAGGGUGAACUAACUCUUUAAGAAAGUACCUUUUCCAAUAAUAUCAUUCUUCUAAAGAAUAACUUAUACUUGUACUAUUCAAGAAUCAUUUGUACUGUUUUCAGAGAAUUGCGCAAUCGAUUACAAACUAAUGGCGAAUUCCACAUUUGUGUGCCUUUAAUAGGCUCAUAAGCAAAAAGUGCCUCCCUCAAGGCCAUUAGCGAAGGGUACAUGCUCACUUCAAGGAAAUAAAUUUACCAUUAAUAAGCAUGACACAGGGUGUUCAUUAUAAAAGAUAGAUGGCAGGAGAUUUCGAGUUUAUGUAGGCUAUAACCCAGCUAACAGGGAACGUUCUCAUAACUUUGGCUAAUAUUCUGAAAAGGUUCUUUCAAAGUUAUGAACAAACGUUCUUCUAUUAACAUUAAUAGAGUGUUUGUUCAAUGUUAUCUGUUCUUUAAUUAUUUUCUCAAAAGGUUAGCUCAAAUCAUUAAUACAUUGUUUGUAGAAGGUUUUUUUUUUUUUUUUUUUUUUUUUUAAAUGCACUCAUAAUGUUGAAAGAAAACUUUAUUUGAACAACAUUCUUUGAACAUCCUUUAAAUAUUAAGGAUCACUAACUCUAUGGCUUAAAAAUGGCUUAAGGUUGGAUGUUACACAGCAAAUUUCCCUGUGUUUAAUGAACACAGCUCAGUGUGACCAUUAGUGAUGAACACCUGAAGUUACAAACAGAAUCACUGAAGGAAAGAGGAACAAACAUUUGAAGUCGUCAUUGUGGUGAUCAGUGUUUAAUGUAGAUUGCCCUUAAAAGUUUUAUUAGUUUUUCGCUGACUUCUGUGUUAUUUGUCAGAAAUGCUUGAGACAUUAUAAGAUGAUGUUGACUGUUAAUUGAAAGUGACAUUAUCAGAAAGUGGUCUAAUCAUUGAAGUGUGAUUUAACUUCUAUGCCUUUUCUUCAGUCUCUUCCUUUAUCAAUGAAGUAUCAUAUUCUAAAAACAUCUGCCAUUGUUGAGAAAAAAUAAACUAACAAAAGUCAAGAGCCCAACUAAAGCAAAUACUGAUCACCGUAAUGGUGACCUCAAAACAUCUAAACCUCUGUUAAUUCUCACUAAGAACUUCUGUAGAUGUAUGACUGAAAUAAAGCCAAACUGGACUGUAAUAAGUGAAGAUGUAAUGCUGUUUUUGGAAUUUUUUAAUCCUCCUCUGCUGAGAUAUUGAGAGAUUUAAUGUCUUUUGUUGACAUUUGUCAUUUGUCUUUUGUAGCUGCCAACAUGGUUUUGUAGUUUACAUGACAUGGUCAUCUACAGUUUCAGGAUAAAAAAAAAAAAAAAGUCUAUAUUUCUCUUAAAGGCCAUCAGUGUCAAAUGAAUUCACUUCCUGUGUGGUUUUAGCACUAUUUUAAAGCAGUAGUCAUCAUCCUAAAGACCACAGCUUCUAUGUGAAGACAAACUGUAAGACUGAGUGAAUCAUGGAAUUAGAGGACACAACUGGAUCUGGAACACCAAGUAACAGCCAGAACGAAGGAAAAGAAGAAAAAACUCGAAUGCACAGAGGAAGUAGAUGUUUGGUGUUGAUGACAGUGUGUCUCGGGAUCAUUUGUGUUCUUCUGCUGGUCUUCAUCAUACUGCAGCACAUCUCCAUCACAGCAGAGAAUCUCUGUUCAAGAGUUACAAGAACACAGCUUGUUUGCUUUAGUUGGGCUCUUGACCCUUGAAUUUUUAACAUUAGAUAUGGGUGACUGUUGUAACUGUGUUAUAACAGCCAGACAAUCCAAGAAAGCAAAGAUGAACUGUGAUCAGGUGUUGUUGGUUUUGUUUUGACAUAAUCAUCAUUUGACCUGAGUCACUGAUCUCUUUUAGAGCCUAAUCUCAGAGUUAAGCCCAAAGUAUAGUUCACUUUUUAUGUGUAUGCGAGGGUCAGUGUACAGUGCGCUGACGUAAAUUUCAUCAUCAGAAGAGUACGUACAUAAUGUACGUGCACUGCCGGAUUUUUGUAACCACGUGUACUUUUUUACGCACAGGUCUCACAUGCGUAUUUUAUUUAUUUAUUUAUUUAUUUGCAGUAAUAAGUUGAUCCACAAGGUGGCAACCGUGCCCUGGGGGCAUCAAUUCACAAGGUAGUUGAAGAAAACCUGCAUAAACAGAACAGACAGGAACGCAUGCAAGCUACAGUGACAAUUGAGGCCUACAUAGUUGAGAGAUUGUGCAAAGAGGUUAGACAGUACACUCAUUUGUACAACUCUAGCAUGAAAGAAUACAAAGAUGGUUGUAACUCGUGGCAAGAGAUUGCUCAAAACUAUACAUGUGUCAAACGCCUGUGUACACGUACGAGUCAAAUAAAGUAAACUUUGCAAGGA